AUUGAACGCUGGCGGCGUGCUUAACACAUGCAAGUCGAUCGGUAACGCGGGGGCAACCCUGGCGACGAGAGGCGGACGGGUGAGGAACGCUUGGGAAUCUGCCUAUCAGCGGGGGACAACACGGGGAAACUCGUGCUAAUACCGCAUACGCUCUACGGAGGAAAGCCGGGGACCGCAAGGCCUGGCACUGAUAGAUGAGCCCAAGCCGGAUUAGCUAGUUGGCGGGGUAACGGCCCACCAAGGCGACGAUCCGUAGCUGGUCUGAGAGGACGAUCAGCCACACUGGGACUGAGACACGGGCCAGAAUCCUACGGGAGGCAGCAGUGGGGAAUAUUGGACAAUGGGGGAAACCCUGAUCCAGCGACGCCGCGUGGGUGAAGAAGGCCUGCGGGUUGUAAAGCCCUUUCGGUAGGGACGAAAGCUCUCGACCUAACACGUCGGGAGGUUGACUUAACCUACAGAAGAAGCACCGGCUAACUCUGUGCCAGCAGCCGCGGUAACAC
rnacentral:rRNA from 1 species